GCAGCUACCAUGCAAAGCCGGCGACGGUUUGGUCUUUAGGGAUCCUGCUGUUCGUCAUGGUGUGUGGUUAUUAUCCAGACGACGAAGACCUGCAAGAGAUCAGCAAGAAUACGUGGUCCGAAACUGAUCUGUCAAAAGAAUGCUGCCAGAUGAUUUGUGAUUGUCUGCAGCCGGAUCCCCAGCAGAGACUUCUUCUGGAGGAUAUGCAGCUCCAUGACUGGUUUAUGGUCGUGGAGUAAGAAAACUCCCUGCCCGUCUAGAAGUGCCUGGCACCUUGAAGUGGCAUCAUUUAUAUUUAGAAUUUGUGUUAGAUAAAUAUGUGUUAAGACAAUUGUUUUAAAAUAUUAUCCGAGAUAAA